rnacentral:lncRNA from 1 species
CCAAGACAAAGUAAACACAUAAAUUAGAUUUCGAUCUCUAAUCUAUACUUCUAUUCUAGUGUAAGUAAACAACCUACUUUCACUCUCACUCCACACUUUCAAUCGUAAGAUUUCCACUCCUCAAAAUUUUUAAUCCAAUCCAAAAAAUAAACGCUACCUUAGUGAAUUAAUUGUUUUGUUUUUACACAGACUGAUAGAGAAACACCGUCUGUGCACGUUCAAGUCUCGUCACUCUCAGUCUCUCACUUGCUUUACUCUCCACUAACUUUCAUCAAUCUUUCAAACAAAUGGGCAAGAAGAAGAAAUUUAUCGACAAGAAAAAAGCGGCUACUUUCCAAUUACUUUGUUAGGCUACUGCUUUGAGAUAGCAAUUUAGAAGAGACGAAUUGAUGAGAAUAAUGAGAAGAAGUGGCCAGAGGGGAAAAGAGAGUUUUAGGAGCAAUUCUUAUUCUUUAUUAAAGUAGCAACAGUUCCUUAUAUAUAAGCCAAAGAGAUCCUACGAAAAUAAUAAUUCCUAAUAACAUAAUAACUUAAUAACUAAACCUUAACGGAAAAGGAAAUAAUGCAGAUCUAAGACUAGGAUUCUAACAUCCCCUCCCCCUAAGAAGGCAGCUUGUCCGCAAGCUGGAAAGAAGGAAAACGGGCCGCAAACUCAGAACAUUCCUCCCAAGUAGCCUCUUCCUUAGACUGACCUUGCCACUGAACAAGGAGCUUAGUAACAGGGCGAUUGUUGCGUUUGAAAAUUCCACGAUCCAAAAUGGCCAAGGGCUGCCAUUCCCAAGCAACAACAUAAGGAGAAUCAGGAAGCUGUUGUGAUGGUGUAUGAACCCCAAGUUUCCUCUUUAGGCAUGAAACAUGAAAAACAGGAUGAACCUUGCUUGUAGCUGGAAGAUCCAAUUUGUAAGCCACAGUGCCAAUG